UACAGAGGUCCCGAGCGUUGUUCGGAUUCACUGGGCGUAAAGGGUGCGUAGGCGGUCAGAUAAGUCUGAUGUGAAAUCUUCGAGCUCAACUCGGAAACUGCAUCGGAAACUAUCUGGCUAGAGGAUUGGAGGGGAGACUGGAAUUCUCGGUGUAGCAGUGAAAUGCGUAGAUAUCGAGAGGAACACCAGUGGCGAAGGCGAGUCUCUGGACAAUUCCUGACGCUGAGGCACGAAAGCUAGGGGAGCAAACAGG
rnacentral:rRNA from 1 species